CCUGGGAACUGCAUCUGUGACUGCAUAGCUAGAGUACGGUAGAGGGGGAUGGAAUUCCGCGUGUAGCAGUGAAAUGCGUAGAUAUGCGGAGGAACACCGAUGGCGAAGGCAAUCCCCUGGACCUGUACUGACGCUCAUGCACGAAAGCGUGGGGAGCAAACAGG
rnacentral:rRNA from 1 species